CCUACGGGGAGCAGCAGUGAGGAAUAUUGGUCAAUGGACGAGAGUCUGAACCAGCCAAGUAGCGUGAAGGAUGACUGCCCUAUGGGUUGUAAACUUCUUUUAUAAAGGAAUAAAACGAGGCACGUGUGCCUUUUUGCAUGUACUUUAUGAAUAAGGAUCGGCUAACUCCGUGCCAGCAGCCGCGGUAAUACGGAGGGUCCGAGCGUUAUCCGGAUUUAUUUGGUUUAAAGGGAGCGUAGAUGGGUUGUUAAGUCAGUUGUGAAAGUUUGCGGCUCAACCGUAAAAUUGCAAUUGAUACUGGCAGUCUUGAGUACAGGUGAGGUAGGCGGAAUUCGUGGUGUAGCGGUGAAAUGCUUAGAUAUCACGAAGAACCCCGAUUGCGAAGGCAGCUUACUAAACUGUGACUGACAUUGAUGCUCGAAAGUGUGGGUAUCAAACAGGAUUAGAUACCCCAGUAGUC
rnacentral:rRNA from 1 species